AGUGAACGCUGGCGGUAGGCCUAACACAUGCAAGUCGAACGGCAGCACAGUAAGAGCUUGCUCUUACGGGUGUCGAGUGGCGGACGGGUGAGGAAUACAUCGGAAUCUACUUUUUCGUGGGUGAUAACGUAGGGAAACUUACGCUAAUACCGCAUACGACCUACGGGGGAAAGCAGGGGAUCUUCGGACCUUGCGCGAUUGAAUGAGCCGAUGUCGGAUUAGCUAGUUGGCGGGGUAAAGGCCCACCAAGGCGACGAUCCGUAGCUGGUCCGAGAGGAUGAUUAGAUACACUGGAACUGAGACACGGUCCAGACUCCUACGGUGGGCAGCAGUGGGGAAUAUUGGACAAUGGGGGAAAGCGGGAUCCAGCAAUACCGCGUGGGGGAAGAAGGACUUCGGGUUGUAAAGCCCUGUUGUUGGUAAAGAAAAGCAGCAGGUUAAUACCCCGCUGUUCUGACGGUACCCAAAGAAUAAGCACCGGCUAACUUCGUG
rnacentral:rRNA from 1 species